CACUCCUACGGGAGGCAGCAGUGGGGAAUCUUGCGCAAUGGGCGAAAGCCUGACGCAGCCAUGCCGCGUGAAUGAUGAAGGUCUUAGGAUUGCAAAAUUCUUUCACCGGGGACGAUAAUGACGGUACCCGGAGAAGAAGCCCCGGCUAACUUCGUGCCAGCAGCCGCGGUAAUACGAAGGGGGCUAGCGUUGCUCGGAAUUACUGGGCGUAAAGGGAGCGUAGGCGGACAUUUAAGUCAGGGGUGAAAUCCCGGGGCUCAACCUCGGAAUUGCCUUUGAUACUGGGUGUCUUGAGUAUGAGAGAGGUGUGUGGAACUCCGAGUGUAGAGGUGAAAUUCGUAGAUAUUCGGAAGAACACCAGUGGCGAAGGCGACACACUGGCUCAUUACUGACGCUGAGGCUCGAAAGCGUGGGGAGCAAACAGGAUUAGAUACCCGUGUAGUCCCAUG
rnacentral:rRNA from 1 species